CGUUACUAGAGCACCGUCCCGACCGAUCAUCGGCUCAGAAGACAGUGAAGGCACUUUAAUGCUUUCUCAGAACUACUGGUUAGCGCGAGCGUCUUUGACUCAAGUGCUGUCCGUACACCUGGUGGUCGGUAUGUGCGCACUCCCUCAUUUGGAACGUCCUGCUUAAACAGUUUUUCCGGUGUGUGGCGAUAUCGUCGUGCUUACGGACAGCUUCUUCAAGACUAAUUUUGUUUCUCGCUACAGCAACUUAUGGAUCAUCGAGGUGCAUUCACGCCAUUGCCGUGAUGUCUUGGUAUCCACGGCGCACGCGCUGCCAAAGGUUGGAGGAGGUCGCAAGCGAGGGCCGAGGGCAAAGGGCAUCUCUUUGUAACGGCGCAGGGAGGUAACUCAACCGCCUGGCCAACCACCUCGCAGCGCAUGUCGCGCAGUUCAUUCUCGGCCAGCACCGAAGGGGUUGCAGCUCGCCCGCUUCACAGAAGCGCGCUCCUGCGAGGGUCCCGCGUUCGCUGUCGACGAGGGAGGAAAACAAGGGCGCGUCUCUCUCUCGGCCAGCCGACGGGAGCCGACCAUCACCACCAUGGCGCGUAUAUUUUCGCGCCUUGUGUGCUAUAAAUCUUGCCAGGCACGGCACCACCCAUUUAACGACCGUUUUCAUGGCGCCGCACUUCGCGUCGGCCGGCUGUUAGCGGCGGGCCGAGUG